UACGUAGGGUGCAAGCGUUAAUCGGAAUUACUGGGCGUAAAGCGUGCGCAGGCGGUUUUUUAAGACAGAUGUGAAAUCCCCGGGCUCAACCUGGGAACUGCAUUUGUGACUGUAGAGCUGGAGUGCGGCAGAGGGGGAUGGAAUUCCGCGUGUAGCAGUGAAAUGCGUAGAUAUGCGGAGGAACACCGAUGGCGAAGGCAAUCCCCUGGGCCUGCACUGACGCUCAUGCACGAAAGCGUGGGGAGCAAACAGG
rnacentral:rRNA from 1 species